UGUUCUGGGUGUUACGCUGCGUCUGUGUGUGUGCAAACUGAUGAGCAGCAUGCUGUUGUGUUCGUCUGUAAUCACACACACCAUCACUGCGGUCAGUCUGUGCUGCAGCUGCCUGCUGUUAUUUACAGACCUCGCUGUCACUGUCUUUUUGCUCUACGUCUGGUUCAUGGAGUCCUGGUUGACGCCUUUUAACGCGUCUUCGGAUGUCAUCGCCCUUCGAUUUCUGCUCUUCCUUUGCAAGGCCUAUGGAGUUGUGUUGCUGCUGAUGCCGCCUUUGAUUGCUGUGGAGUUGUUGGUUGAUCUGCUGUGUCCUCAAGGCAGGCGAACAAAGGGACGAGAUGCAAGUGAAUCCCUCUCUAGUACAGUUGGCUACUUGGGAUGUUUUCUAGCAUGGAGCAUGAGCGGGAUCUACAGCAGCCACGACUGGAUGCUGGAGCAGAUCUCAGUGGAAACCUGUCAAGGAAAAGGUGGCCAUCUUCUCACCUGCCUUCCCUGUGCUGAUGAGUUUUCCUGGGUUCUUCCUUCUAUGGUGGUCCUGUUGAGCUUGACGGGGAGUCUGCGUCUGUUCAGGACAAAGGUGUCCCGACGACUGCCUGACUCAUCUAAAACCACACAGAUGGGCGAGAAAAAGGACUAUUUGGGCCCUGGGUUAAUGCAUAUGUCACAAACUCUGGUUGACUCAGAAAAAACACCCAACAGCUGUGGCGUUCACACGGCUGGGUUUGAGAACAGUGAGCCACGACGGAUCUGUCCUGGGAAUGGUGUACUGUGCACUCAACAAACCGGUUUGGCAGACAAUAUCGAGAAACAAAAGCAAUCAUCCAGCCUUGCAACAUUUGCACAGUCCAAAACCGGUCUUCCUCUGGAAGUCACAUCCUUGGCGGUCUUUAACAGGACAGACGCAAAGUCUCAAAGCAGACGCUGUUGGUUUCCCAAAAGGGAAAGUCCCUGCUCAGGGCGAGAAAUCUUCACAGGGUUGGUAUGCGUGGCUCUGGUUUGUGUUUUUCCCACAGUCGUCAGCGGUAAUAUUCUCCUAAUCUUUAACCUGGAGAAUCUGGUGGUGUACAACUUGAAACUCUUAUCUCUAUCGGUCAACAGAGUACCGGAUCUGUAAGUGCUGAAGGUGCAGAUGUGGGUAUAAACCAAUACAAAUCUGUAUAUUCAACCUUCUGGUGCUCUUUGGUCAUUUUUGACUAAAAAUUGUAUGUUUUGUUGUUUACUUCAUUAGAAUGAUACAAACUUUUGUAAAGGUUUUGGCACUUGUGUGAAAAAAAAUAAAUCUAAAAGAUUUGAAAAGGUGAUUUAAAAUGACUGGAAUCAUUGGACACA
rnacentral:lncRNA from 1 species